UCAUAGGUAAUGGCUUGGUCAAGGGAAUCUAUCAAAGCCAUAGUGAAACGAGUUCAUAGGGCAAUCGUCACUACUUAUGGGCCCGAAUUCGGGUGAUCUAUCCACGAUCAGGACAAAGCUUGGGUGAAACUAAGUGUUAGGGGUAAAAUGCCACUCGCACCCAGAGCUAGAUGGUUCUCUCGAAACGUAUUGAGGCGCAAUAGUUGACUAGACAUCUAGGGGUAAAUCAUGGUUUCGGUGGGGGUCGUGAGAGCUACCAAAUUGAGGCAAAACCUUACUACAUAUGACCUCAAAAAUAGGGGGCAAAGUCGGCUAGUGAGACAAUGGGGGAUAAACUUUAUCGUCAAGAGGGAAAGAGCCCGGAUCGCCUACUAAGGCCCUUAAAUGACUGCUCAGUGAUAAAGGAGGCGGGAAUGCAUAGACAACCGUGAGGUUUGCUUAGAAGUAGCCACCCUUGAAAGAAUACGUAAUAACUCAAUGAUCAAGCGCUCUUGCAUCGAAGAUGAAUAGGGAUAAACAAUCCUGCUAAUGCUAAAUUACAUCGGCAUGGAUAUUUUAAUUCCCUGACCACUCUUUCCAGUAUUGUUUGAAAAACAACAACUAGGAAUAGAUAAU
rfam:Nicotiana attenuata strain TT chromosome 9, whole genome shotgun sequence.